rnacentral:rRNA from 1 species
UACGUAGGGUGCGAGCGUUAAUCGGAAUUACUGGGCGUAAAGCGUGCGCAGGCGGUGAUGUAAGACAGGUGUGAAAUCCCCGGGCUUAACCUGGGAACUGCAUUUGUGACUGCAUCGCUGGAGUGCGGCAGAGGGGGAUGGAAUUCCGCGUGUAGCAGUGAAAUGCGUAGAUAUGCGGAGGAACACCGAUGGCGAAGGCAAUCCCCUGGGCCUGCACUGACGCUCAUGCACG